UACGAAGGGUGCAAGCGUUACUCGGAAUUACUGGGCGUAAAGGGUGCGUAGGUGGUCGUUUAAGUCCGUUGUGAAAUCCCUGGGCUCAACCUGGGAAUGGCAGUGGAUACUGGACGGCUAGAAUGCGGUAGAGGGUAGUGGAAUUCCCGGUGUAGCAGUGAAAUGCGUAGAGAUCGGGAGGAACACCAGUGGCGAAGGCGGCUACCUGGACUGGUAUUGACGCUGAGGUGCGAAAGCGUGGGGAGCAAACAGG
rnacentral:rRNA from 1 species